rnacentral:rRNA from 1 species
AAGUCGAGGGGUAACGGGGAAGCUUGCUUCCGCCGACGACCGGCGCACGGGUGCGUAACGCGUAUACAAUCUACCUUGUACUGGGGUAUAGCCUUUAGAAAUGAAGAUUAAUCCCCCAUAGUCUCUUAGAGUGGCAUCACUUCUAGAGUAAAGGUUACGGUAUAAGAUGAGUAUGCGUUCUAUUAGUUUGUUGGUGUGGUAACGGCACACCAAGACUACGAUAGAUAGGGGCCCUGUGAGGGGGAUCCCCCACACUGGUACUGAGACACGGACCAGACUCCUACGGGAGGCAGCAGUGAGGAAUAUUGGACAAUGGAGGCAACUCUGAUCCAGCCAUGCCGCGUGCAGGAAGACUGCCCUAUGGGUUGUAAACUGCUUUUAUACAGGAAGAAACACCUCUACGUGUAGAGGCUUGACGGUACUGUAAGAAUAAGGAUCGGCUAACUCCGUGCCAGCAGCCGCGGUAAUACGGAGGAUCCAAGCGUUAUCCGGAAUCAUUGGGUUUAAAGGGUCCGUAGGUGGAUAACUAAGUCAGAGGUGAAAUCUUGCAGCUCAAACUGUAAAAA